UUCCGGUGACUUAUGAUUUUCCAUCUUCUGUAUCUCUGUGCACUGUCUGUCAGCUCCCUCUGUCUGAGCGACAUUUGUGGCAGUUACUCAUCAGGGGCAGCUCUGGGAAGCAGUCACUGUGGGCACAAGACGCUGAGCAGCUACUAAAUGAGGCAUCUCUUCCAAUGAACUUCAGGAGUCUUUGGCGUCUGCAGGAAGAGGGAAGAAAGAGCACCAGUCCUUUCUCCAGAUGGAAGGUGUGACUGCAGCCAGGACUGCCAUCAGAGAGCUGGCGGCAAGACAAGUGCCAUCUGUCAUGGCAGCUCAGUCCUGGGCUCUGCCCAAACCCAACAUCAGCGCUAGAGCUGCCUGUGAAACUGGAGAAGAUAAUUAGACCUUGAAACUUUCCUCUUCUCUUGAAGGUGAUGACCUGGUACCUGUAACAACACACUUUUAGAAACUGAGGACCUAGAUGCAUUUUUCCCUUGAACAGGGGCAUUGAAAGCAUGCAUUCUAGAGCCAGGCUGGCUCGGUGUAAGAUGUGAUUCUGUCAGUUACCAGUCCUAUGUCCUAUGUCCUAUGUCCGAGCAAGCUAACCAAUCUUUCCGUGCCUCAGUUUCCCUACCUGCAAAAUGGGAUUGGUGACACAAUCUACUGCACAACUGCCAUAACUAAAUGACAUUGUGCUGGCAAAGCACUUAGGUGCUAUUGUUAUCAUCAUCAUUAUCAUCAUCAUCACCAGACAUUUAGACAGUGCGCUCCUUUAUUACGUCUGAAACAUUUUGUCAUGUAGCGUACUGGAAAGAUCUUUGGAUUUGGAAUCAGAAUCAGUGGGUUUGAUCCUAAAUUAUUCCUUGGCAAUGCCUUAAACACACUGCUUCACCUGUGAACCUGAGCGUGCUCCCUUAUAAAAUGGGAUGAGAGAAUGGACAGUGUCACUUUCAACACAAUAUUAUCUCUUUUUAUGGUUUCUUUCUUUCUUUCUUUCUUUGUUUCUUUGUUUCUUUCUUUCUUUCUUUCUUUUUGUUUGAGACAGGGUCUUGCUAUGAAGUUCAAGCUGGUCCUGAACUCACUUUUAUGGCCCAGGCUGGUCUUGAACUUGCAGCAGUCCUCCUGCUUCAGCCUCUGGAGUGUUGGAAUUACAGGCUCGAGCCACUACAUCUGGUCUUUUUAUGACUUCUGCUUCUUAUAAUCACUGAAGAGCACUGUCCUGAGAUUGCACAGCUAGUGUGUACACACACACACACACACACACACACACACACACACAGACACACAUGCCCCAGAACUGUCCCUACAGGGUACUCCCUGGCCACUAUCCAGCCCCGUUUUGAUCAGUCUCCACUGCUGGGAUCCCCUUGGGGCUGCUAGUGGUGCCAUGCAUCCUGGCUGUGAUCAUGUAAGGGUAAGGGGACUCCUGAGGACUCAGGGAAGGGUAUCAGGCAGGAUGUGGGGACCAGACGUGUGGGCUCAGGUGAGCUCAGUGAGUGUGAGCCUAGACUAGCAGAAACUACUACAGCUGUGACCAGAAUCCGAGGGGUGUCCCAGGACCCUGGGAAAGUGCUGUGAUUUCUCAUUAAUGUGGCUCCUGAAGCUUUGCCCUGUGGAGCUGCCCGAUUCCUCCCACCUCCCAGCUUCUCCUGCCACCGUGCAGUGAAGGUGCAGAGUGGGAUGGGGACAUGGAGGGAAGGUCAAGGCUGUCUGUGGCUCUUGCUGAAGGCUGUUUGGUUAUGAAAAGGAAGCAGGGUUUCCACUGCGGGCACCCACUUUAAUUCAACGGCAUGGGGGUGGGAAAGGGUAGGAGACAGGCUAAGUCUCUGAUGCGGUGAAAAUCACUGGAUAUCACUGGGUUAUAAAAUAUGAUGGAGAGGAAAAUGAUGUUUUUCAUUUCAGAGCAGUGUUCCCACACAAAGGACAACAGACCUGUCAGACUGUUACCCCUUCAUUAUCCAUGUAAAACACCCCAUUCUGCCCAGCAGUGUAAACAUGUUCCUUCCUGUCAGAGGUGAAAGGAUUUAAAUUGAAGUGGGUUUUGGGUUAAGUGAUACC